GUGGGGAAUUUUGGACAAUGGACGCAAGCCUGAUCCAGCAAUGCCGCGUGCAGGAAGAAGGCCUUCGGGUUGUAAACUGCUUUUGUACGGAACGAAACGGUCCGGGUUAAUACCCUGGGCUAAUGACGGUACCGUAAGAAUAAGUACCGGCUAACUACGUGCCAGCAGCCGCGGUAAUACGUAGGGUGCAAGCGUUAAUCGGAAUUACUGGGCGUAAAGCGUGCGCAGGCGGUUUUGUAAGACAGGCGUGAAAUCCCCGGGCUCAACCUGGGAAUUGCGCUUGUGACUGCAAGGCUGGAGUGCGGCAGAGGGGGAUGGAAUUCCGCGUGUAGCAGUGAAAUGCGUAGAUAUGCGGAGGAACACCGAUGGCGAAGGCAAUCCCCUGGGCCUGCACUGACGCUCAUGCACGAAAGCGUGGGGAGCAAACAGGAUUAGAUACCCUAGUAGUCC
rnacentral:rRNA from 1 species